rnacentral:rRNA from 1 species
UACGUAGGGGGCAAGCGUUGUCCGGAUUUAUUGGGCGUAAAGAGCGUGUAGGCGGUCAGGUAGGUCGGUUGUGAAAACUGGAGGCUCAACCUUCAGAGGUCGACCGAAACCCCCUGGCUAGAGUCCGGGAGAGGAGAGUGGAAUUCCUGGCGUAGCGGUGAAAUGCGCAGAUAUCAGGAAGAACACCCGUGGCGAAAGCGGCUCUCUGGGCCGAUACUGACGCUGAGGAGCGAAAGCGUGGGGAGCGAACAGG